GGUUCGGUGGUGUAGUGGUUAUCACGUCUGUCUCACAUCCUAUGUGUCCCACAGGAGGUCCCCGGUUCGAGACCGGGUCGAACCA